AAGGAUUUAAGUUAAUUCAAACUUGAAACCUUCAAAGUUUUAUAUAAAGUCUAUAAAACCUUUAAGCCUUA
rnacentral:tRNA from 1 species